GUCCUCAUAGCUCAAUGGAUAGAGCAGUAGCCUUCUAAGCUAUUGACCUAGGUUCGAUUCCUAGUGAGGAUACCA
rnacentral:tRNA from 1 species